rnacentral:rRNA from 1 species
UGGGGAAUAUUGCACAAUGGGCGCAAGCCUGAUGCAGCCAUGCCGCGUGUAUGAAGAAGGCCUUCGGGUUGUAAAGUACUUUCAGCGGGGAGGAAGGGAGUAAAGUUAAUACCUUUGCUCAUUGACGUUACCCGCAGAAGAAGCACCGGCUAACUCCGUGCCAGCAGCCGCGGUAAUACGGAGGGUGCAAGCGUUAAUCGGAAUUACUGGGCGUAAAGCGCACGCAGGCGGUUUGUUAAGUCAGAUGUGAAAUCCCCGGGCUCAACCUGGGAAAUGCAACUGAUACUGGCAAGCUUGAGUCUCGUAGAGGGGGGUAGAAUUCCAGGUGUAGCGGUGAAAUGCGUAGAGAUCUGGAGGAAUACCGGUGGCGAAGGCGGCCCCCUGGACGAAGACUGACGCUCAGGUGCGAAAGCGUGGGGAGCAAACAGG